rnacentral:lncRNA from 1 species
UGUUGGUGCAUAAUCGGCAGAGAAUGGGUCAGUUGGGGAGACUGAGGCUGUUGAUGUGGCUAUUUGAAUACCUGUAACUGUGCCUGGGGCUGCUGGGCUCGGCCAAGUGGUCCCCUGGGGCAGGUUCAGGCCGCGGGGCUGGCGAGAGAAGGGUGUGGGGGGGAGGGGCUGAGGCUCCAGCAAGCGCAUCGGGGUUGACCACAGCACCGUCCGGGCUGCGCUGCUCUCCCUCCCUUUUGGGUAACACCAUACCUCGUACUUGACUUGGUUGUACCGCACCGUUCCCUGCACACGCGGCCCUUAGGCCUGGGGAAGGUUGGCACGGGCUCCCCUCCUUGGGCAGGGGCAGGUCCGUGCCCACCUUAAGGAGGUGCUGGGCACAGGCAGCUAGAAGCACCUGGGGCGCCUCCUUCCCCGGGGGCUGCCGCCUCCCCGGCUCCCCCCAGCCAGUGUGGCCGGGUUGGUGGGGCGCCUGGCAGAGACACGCCUCUUAUGCAAUAAUGAAACAAAAGGCCCGCAAGCGGCCUGGGAGAAAGGGCAGGUACUUUAUGCUGAAAUUGUAACCUGGAAUUGCAUCUCAGAAUAUGUGGUAUCUUUUGUGUUAAUUUUUUUUUGAUAAAUCUUCUGUGUUUAUUGGAUCCUUUGCAUCUGUACAUCUUGUUUUUGCCCCAAAGGCAUUAGAAAGCAACUGAUUUCUAUCUGUCAACUAGGGUCUUUUUGGUAUAUGGCACCUGAGUGACAGAAAGUGUAAUGUUGUACAUCCAGGACAGUUACUUUGAAUAGUUCCUACACUGUAAAAAUUUGCUUUUUGUUCAUUGUUUUAAUGUUAAGAAAAUGAUUCUGUUAAACAUUUUCCCCCUGCUAUGAAACUGAAACUCAGUUUCAAUGUUUGUCUAAAAAAAUUAUGGAUGUCAUUUCCAGAAAUAUCACUACUCUGGAUUAAAAUCUUUUUGUAAAAGCAACAAGUCAUUCACGUGGUUACGCAAAGUUUUACAAAGUUCAAAUUAUAAUGAAGCAUCAUCCAUUGAAGCUAUUUUACU